rnacentral:rRNA from 1 species
GACGAACGCUGGCGGCGUGCUUAACACAUGCAAGUCGAACGGAAAGGCCCUGCUUUUGUGGGGUGCUCGAGUGGCGAACGGGUGAGUAACACGUGAGUAACCUGCCCUUGACUUUGGGAUAACUUCAGGAAACUGGGGCUAAUACCGGAUAGGAGCUCCUGCUGCAUGGUGGGGGUUGGAAAGUUUCGGCGGUUGGGGAUAGACUCGCGGCUUAUCAGCUUGUUGGUGGGGUAGUGGCUUACCAAGGCUUUGACGGGUAGCCGGCCCGAGAGGGUGACCGGCCACAUUGGGACUGAGAUACGGCCCAGACUCCUACGGGAGGCAGCAGUGGGGAAUAUUGCACAAUGGGCGGAAGCCUGAUGCAGCAACGCCGCGUGCGGGAUGACGGCCUUCGGGUUGUAAACCGCUUUCGCCUGUGACGAAGCGUGAGUGACGGUAAUGGGUAAAGAAGCACCGGCUAACUACGUG